UUGACAGAACACUAAACCAACUCUAAUGGAAAAAAAUAAAAAUAAUUUAAAAAAUAAAUUAAAAAUGAAUAAAAGCAUUGAUUACUGUAUAAAUAUAUGUGGAACUUUUAAAAUUAUCCCUCAUGAUUUUGGUUUAAAACACAAGAUCAAAGAGACAAUGCCAGAUGUAUACAUUUCAUGAACUUUACCAGAACAGGAAAUUGAACUUUUCCCCCAGUUGACUCCAUAUUUUGAGUGAACCCUCUGCCUCAAGAGCGCUUCGCAGUCCCAUCUGUCUCAGAUGACUUGUUUCUCGCUUGCCAUCUGCUCUUGCGUUGGGCCGUGGGACGUUUGCUGAAUUCUUUCGGUUCCUGCUCUUCAUUGCACAUUGUACCGUUCUCUUCAUCCAUACAACUGUCCCAUCCCUCCAGGAAGCAGGGUAUAUGCUGCAUCAGUUCUGCAAUCUACUCAGCGGAGCUUCUAUUUAUUAACUGCCUCAACAACUCAACUAUUGUGCAUUAAGCAUAGGUCUUUCAGCUCCUGCUCUGAACGUCUGAGCCUCUAGCUCUGAAGAAGAGCAGACUCAGUGGGGAGGUUCUGCUGCUGGGUUCUGGCACCUGAUGCUUGUGGGGAGAGUCCAAAGCAAGGGUGCAAGGACAACAGAGCCCAGGUGGGAAGCCCAGCCCAGAAAGAAGUGCAAAGGGUCAAAGGGAGGGACGAAGGCUGGAUGCAAAACCAGGCACUGGGGGUCAGUGAGGAGCUAAGAGUCAUGUGAUUAGAGACUUGAAGUCAGAUGACUAAGGUUGAGACUUCGGUGGGCCUCUCUUGCUGUAUAACUUGACAAUUUUGUGUGUGUGUGUGUGUGUGUGUGUGUGUGUGAACUGCUGUAUUAGAUUCUCGAGGCUGCCACAAUAAAUGAUGACAAACUCGGUGACUUCAAAUAACAGCAAUUUAUUUUCUCAUAGUUCUGGAGGCAGAUGUCUGCAAUGUCAACUUAAAAAAGGUAACCUAAAGGUUGAGAGUUAAGUUUUAUUUGGGGCAAAGUGAGGACUCUAGCCUGGGAGGCAGCAUUUCAGAGAGCGCUGAGAUCCCGCUCCAAAGAUGUAGGUGGGAAGGUCAGUACACAUGGGAAGGGGGAGGCCCCUGCAACCAGGCACGCAUUGCACAGAAGGUCGCUGCUAGUCUCCUGAAGGUCACUGCUAGUCAUGAGGACAAGGUGUCACCAUGAAGGAUUUUAGUGCUUUUCUAGCUAUGAGGAGAUGCAAGAAUUGGGCUGGUAAAGUCUCCUGAAAAUAUCCAUCUGAAGCCCUGUUCUGCCGGUUUUCCCAGAGCACAGAGCGCCUCACUCCUGCUCUCCACCCUGAGCGCCCUUCAAGGGCUGUUGAGGGUUGGCAGCUGCAGUAGCUCAUGAUUCAGUCCGAGGCAGAUGGCAGGUGUCCAUCUCCAAUUGACAGCAGUCCCCCAUGUAUUGGCAGGGUUGGUUCCUCCUGGAGGCUCGGAGGGAAAACCUGAGCCGCCCCCUGGCAGUCUCAGCUUGUAGCUGCUUCCCUCCCAUCUCUCCCUGCAGCUUCACGCAACCUUUCCUGUGGUAUACCUGUGAUCUAUCUCUUCUCAUAAGGACACCUGUCAUGGAAUUUAUGGUCCAUCCUAUAUCCAGGAUGACUUUAGCUUCAGAUCCUUAACCACUCACAUCU